AACGUAGGAGACAAACGUUAUCCGGAGUUACUGGGCGUAAAGGGCGUGUAGGUGGUUUCGUAAGUCUGGCGUGAAAUUUUUCGGCUUAACCGGGAAAGGUCGUCGGAUACUGCGGAACUAGAGGACGGUAGAGGCGUGUGGAAUUCCGGGUGUAGCGGUGAAAUGCGCAGAUAUUGGGAAGAACACCAGUGGCGAAGGCGGUUCUCUGGGACGGUACUGACGCUGAGACGCGAAAGCGUGGGGAGCGAACAGG
rnacentral:rRNA from 1 species